AACACUGUUAACCUGCGGUACCUGCGGAGGGAUCAUUACUGAGUCACGUGCUCAAACAACCCUUCUGUGGACCUGAAAUAAAACCGUUGCCUCGGCGGGCGGUCCCCCCCAAACCAACCCCACGUGGUGGGUUAGGGGAGACCAGACAGUCCGGUACGCUUAAGGCGUCCGGCGCCAGCCGCUGGCCCCAAACAAUUAAACUCUAGUAAUCUUUACCUUCUGAGUUUCAAUAUUUUAAAA
rnacentral:misc_RNA from 1 species